rnacentral:rRNA from 1 species
AGAGUUUGAUCCUGGCUCAGAACGAACGCUGGCGGCGUGCUUAACACAUGCAAGUCGAACGUGAUCCAGAGCUUGCUCUGGUGAAAGUGGCGCACGGGUGAGUAACGCGUGGAUAACCUGCCCUGGUAUCUGGGAUAACAUCUCGAAAGGGGUGCUAAUACCGGAUAAGCCUACGGGAUCUUCGGAUUCUGCAGGAAAAGGAGGCCUCUAUUUAUAAGCUUCCGUAUCAUGAUGGGUCCGCGUACCAUUAGCUAGUUGGUGGGGUAAUGGCCUACCAAGGCGACGAUGGUUAGCUGGUCUGAGAGGAUGAUCAGCCACACUGGAACUGAGACACGGUCCAGACUCCUACGGGAGGCAGCAGUGGGGAAUUUUGCGCAAUGGGGGAAACCCUGACGCAGCAACGCCGCGUGAGUGAUGAAGGCUUUCGGGUCGUAAAGCUCUGUCAGAGGGGAAGAAAUGAAACGUGCUAAUAUCACGUUUUCUUGACGGUACCCUCAAAGGAAGCACCGGCUAACUCCGUGCCAGCAGCCGCGGUAA